rnacentral:rRNA from 1 species
YGAGAUUCCUACGGGAGGCAGCAGUAAGGAAUCUUGCACAAUGGGGGCAACCCUGAUCCAGCCAUGCCGCGUGAGUGAAGAAGGCCCUAGGGUCGUAAAACUCUUUCGCCUGUGAUGAUAAUGACAGUGGCAGGUAAAGAAACCCCGGCUAACUCCGUGCCAGCAGCCGCGGUAAUACGGAGGGGGUUAGCGUUGUUCGGAAUUACUGGGCGUAAAGCGCACGUAGGCGGAUUAGAAAGUUAGAGGUGAAAUCCCGGGGCUCAACCCCGGAACUGCCUUUAAAACUACUAGUCUAGAGUUCGAGAGAGGUGAGUGGAAUUCCGAGUGUAGAGGUGAAAUUCGUAGAUAUUCGGAGGAACACCAGUGGCGAAGGCGGCUCACUGGCUCGAUACUGACGCUGAGGUGCGAAAGUGUGGGGAGCAAACAGGAUUAGAUACCCUGGUAGUCCACACCGUAAACGAUGAAUGCCAGUCGUCGGGUAGUAUACUAUUCGGUGACACACCUAACGGAUUAAGCAUUCCGCCUGGGGAGUACGGUCGCAAGAUUAAAACUCAAAGGAAUUGACGGAAU